AUUACCUUGGCAGAUUAGUGCAUUAAAUUUAGAAUUUAAGAUUAUAUAUAUAUGAUUAUAUAGGUAAUA
rnacentral:tRNA from 1 species